rnacentral:rRNA from 1 species
GAUGAACGCUGGCGGCGUGCCUAACACAUGCAAGUCGAACGGACUUAAGAUGAAACCUAGUGAUUUUUAAGUUAGUGGCGGACGGGUGAGUAACGCGUGGGCAACCGGUCACUGAAGGAUGGGCCUGCGUCUGAUUAGCUAGUUGGUGGGGUAACGGCUCACCAAGGCGACGAUCAGUAGCCGGUCUGAGAGGAUGAACGGCCACAUUGGGACUGAGACACGGGCCCAAACUCCUACGGGAGGCAGCAGUGGGGAAUCUUCCGCAAUGGGCGAAAGCCUGACGGAGCAAUGCCGCGUGAGUGAAGAAGGCCUUCGGGUUGUAAAACUCUGUCCUUAUUGAAGAGAGGUAGUAGUGUGAAUAAUGCUGCUAUAGGACGGUAAAUAAGGAGGAAGCCCCGGCUAACUACGUG